ensembl:lncRNA LOC102551656 uncharacterized LOC102551656
GGAUGACAUUCUGCUCGGUGUGAGGCAAGACCAUGGUGUAAGAAUGGUAGUCAGGCCAGGAGUAUGAACUGUGGAGAGGUGGCCAAGAUGCCUACAUAGGGGUCAGCAGCAGACUCGAACUUCUCUGGUAAAGUCUCUAGACUCCCAAGAGAAGAACCCUGCUGGACACAAGCAGGAAACUAGGUCCCCCGAAGGAGAACAGGAAUAUGGCAAAAAGGCUUGGAUUCCAGAUUCAAGAACCAUUUACAGUGAGACCUAGUGAUAGCCAUCAAUAGUCUGGGUGAGGUGAAAGAGGGCAGGACCCCAGCAUUCUGUGCUGUCUCACAUACCAGGAGGAAGGAGGCCUAGAGUCCUGAAAUCUGGGAAGAGCUGUCCAGCUGCUCACCCUGAGCUGAGGUCCACAGAUGGCUUUGGUCAAGAUUGUCCUCCUCUGAGCAAAGACCAAAGAUGUGCUAACACUGCAAGUUCCUGCCCACUACCCAAGUGUGUGUGCCAUUCACCACAGCCUAUGCAGAGAAAGGCUGGAAGAGGUCUGUGUUCAAUGUGAUUGCAGUACCUUCAAAGUGCCUGUAAGCCACGGCUCCUGUAGCUGAAGUACACUGCAGAUAGAGUUCUGCUCUAUGGCCAGGCUGCGGAAAGGUGGCCUUGACGGGUAGCUCUCAGAAGCAUGAUGGAAGUCAGCAGUGAGCAUCUCCUUCGUGGCACACUGGCAGGAGCCGUAGCACCAGGACGACGUUUGGUAUGCCAGGCACAUCCUGUGCCUCACACAUCCAGGGACUGCAAUCAGGUAGCUGAUGAGAAUUCAAGUCACAUCGCCUGGACCAUUGCCGCAGUGAACUGAUUCAUGCUGCUACUUCGAGGUGGGAGAAGGGACAGUGGGGCCCAGAGACAAACCAGCCUGGCUCUAUUAUACAGCUGCUGUUCUCAAGCUGAAACGUUCCGUCCUUUCCCACUCCCUGUCUUGCUGCUGAGCUGGCUACCUGUGAAGCCUGAAGAUUCCAGCCCCAGGUUCUGACUGAACAAUGGUAUUAUGUGAUGUAUAAAGAGUACCCAGGCAACGGAGACAGGCAUGGCUUCAUUCACUCAGUGCCCAGUGGCUUUUGAACGCUCCAGCAUUCAGCCUUUAUCCUGAGCAGCUCUGGGCCUCUCCCCUCCCAUUUAUUGCUCAGCUGUCCUCAUCAUAAUCUUUCCCCUGUCUGCAAGAGAGCCAUGAAUGAGGGAAGGAAAGGGGGGAGACAAAGAUACUCUGGUAACCAGAAAGACUCCUGAUUGUGGGUGAAGAGAUCUGAGGUUUGGUCUCUGGUGCCAUCACUCAUGAGGGAACCUUGAGUGCAUCUCUAGUCAGCUCCAGGUUCCCUUCCCGAUCUAAGUCUCUGGUAAGAGAAUCAGGAAGAAAGUCCAACGGGAGCUUUGCCAACUCUGACAUUCUAUCAUGUGGUUGUGACAAGUCCCCAGGACCACUGAGGAAUGGAGAGAGCUAACCAACGGGGACAAAGUACCAGAAACACCUAUUGUGACUCAUCUGUGAUGGUGACUAACAAGACCAAGGUCCACAGGUCAUGCAAGUAGAAAGCAUUUAAAUUCUGAGUUUGAAUAAUGUCAGUUUGUUCUAAAGACUGUAUUUACUGCUGUUGCCCUUGUUGUUUGCUUUUUGUUAUAUGUUUUUUUGAGACAGACUUUUCUGUAGCCCAACUAGCCUCAAAUUCAUUACAUAGCCAAGGAUGAUCUUGCACUUCUGAUUCUUCUGUCUUUAUUUCCCAAGUGCUGGGAUUACAGACCUGCUGUGCAAAUGCUCUACCAUCUAAACUAUAGGCACAGCCGUAAGUCUUUGUUCUUUAAACUAUUUACUAUCUUCUAAAUCUAGCUUUCCUUUUCUCCUUUUUUUCUCAUUCUGAACACAAACAUGAGGCCAUUCCUAUUUUCAAAUUAUGUCCCCUUUGGCCCUUGAAUGGGCCUCUCCAAGGAGAUGUCCCUGAAAUAAAGGCUUGAUGGCAGACCUGCCUCUUGAGAAGCUGAAUGGGACACCCUGUGUUCAGCAUGUGUAGAGGCCAGAGAACAACCUCAGAUGUCAUCCUUAGGAGCAAAGCCCACCCACUUUGACACGGGAUUUCAUAUUGGUCUGGAGGCCAUCAAUUGAGCUUUACUUCCUGGCUGGUCAGCCCGUGAUCCUCCUGUCUCUGUUUCCUCAACACUGAGAUUAUUCACAAAUGCACUACCAUACCCAGGUUGUUUACAUGAGUACUGACACCACACCCAGGUCCUUGGAUAGCUUACUGAUGUCUCUCCCCAGGCCACUUUGGUCCUUUCAGUCAUUUGAUAACUUUGUGAUAUUCAGAGUGGCAGGAUGUCAAGAGACUGAGUUUCCCACUCCAGAGCCACCGUUCAUGCUUUGAUUUCGGUUGCACCAGCCAGCAGUAAACGUUUAUCUCUGAUGGGAGGAUCAAAUUUGGCAGGAGAGAUUUCUGUACAUUUGGGGGCAGGUAUUCAUUUGGCAAGCAGCUUUAACAGCUGAAAC